GAUGGGGCAGCUGCCGAGGUGGAGCUGAGCCCAUCAAGCUGGGGCCUGGCUUUGGGGCCCUGGUCUAAUUCUGUGACCACCAGUCAUAGUCUGGGAUCCCAGCUCCUGGGCGGGGGCAGCGCUUGAUGGGCCGCAGGCAACAAGCGAAAGAUUUAUAAUCUGAACAUACAGGGGACAAGGCAUCAUGGAGGAGCAGCUACACAUCCUCAACUCGAAAUGAAGCCAAAGGGAGCAUUCAAAGAAGGCAUUAAGCAGCUUAAAUUCUGUCAAGUAGCAGCUAAUGGAGUUCUCCCAGGGCUGGAAGGAGAGGACCUGAGAAACUGAAGAAAGGAACAGCACAGAAGCCACCCUCCAGUCCUGUAACACAACUGGUUUGGUAGGUAAGAUGCUGGAAAUCCUGCCAAUUUCGCUCUUUUUAAAAAGUUCUCCAGGCUCAUUUAGUUUGGUGGUCUGCAUGAGCUUAAUGUAAGUAUAUGAUUCAUUUAAAAAUGAGGGGAAAACAUGGGGAAGGUAAGGAAUAGUUUAAAGGAAGAAGUGGAUCAGAUGAAAGUGCCCAGGAAAAGGUUAAAAAGUCUCUUCCUUGAUGUAAACUUGGAAAGGAUGGAAUGUCUCAUUGGUAGAAGGGAAAUACCAUGUAGGAACUGGACCAAAGCAAGAUUAAGAGACCAGGGGCUCACUGAUCUGCUCCCACAGGGUAGUCCAACUUCUUGCUUAUGUAACAUGCACAGUGACUGCAGACUGCGACCCUGAUUCUGCACUGCGCCUCUCAAGAGAUGUGGCCCAGAAAGCUGCGGUGAGUCAUUAAGCCACUUCUGCAUCUCUGGAAUUUAGGGAUUGCUGGGGGAUAGUCUAGUCAGUGAUACGUAGUCUGCAAUGGUCCCCAAGAAAUCAGUUGACACCCCAAAAUAGGUGGAGUGCAGAAAAGUCUAGCUACACUCCCCACCUCCCACAUUUCUUCCACCCAGCUCCUGAGAUACCCCUGUUCCAGUGGUAUGUGUAUCAUAGGCCAUCACCCAGGCAACCCCUUAGGUUGUAAGGUAGGGGUAAAUCUGGCAGCUUUGUGGCCCCUUUACGCCACAAUAGUGGCAUAUGCAGAAUGCAGCCUGGAAUCAAAGCCCAAGGCUCUGUGCCAGAGUUCUCUGCGUCCUCAUUCAUCAGAAAGGCGGUGGCUAAAAUGCAACCCCGUGGGGUACGGUAGGGGGGAAAAAAUGGAUGGCUCCUCAAGACUCUGACAGGGCUGCAGAUAAUCAGAUUUGUUAGGGGGGAAUAUCCUGUGUCGCUCUUAGAAUAAUAGAAUUUAACAAAUGAUGUGAUAAACCAAAGGUCGGUCAGUGAUCCCCAACCACAUCUCACACACACAUCCACAUACUGUAGGCACACGCAUUCCCACUUAGAUACACACACACACACACAAAUACGUGUUGUCAGUAACACCCUUUCCUAAUAACUGCAUCUUCCCCCUAACCUUUUUGUCUAGUAUGUACUGAUUUUUUGCUGGGGUUGGCAAGCAGGCUACUUACCGGUAGAAACUGACUACUGUUGUGCAUUGUAAUGAACUGGCGAGUGUCUGUGUACCCUUUAAUAGCUGGAAUCAAAACUUCUCUAUUUUGUGUCAUAGGCCACCUAUGUUAACAGGGAAUGGAGAUUCUCUGUGUGGAAUAGCAGGAUUUGGCUUCUAUUCUUACUGUUUCUGUAAAGUGGCCAUAGUGUGCAGCAUAGCAUGAAUUGUGAAGUCCCAGGCGAUCAGAGAUGUGUGGAUACGAUAACACUUUAACAAAUCUCCCUAGUGACUCCCAAAUGUGACAUGAAACAAAGGAGUUAAAAGUCCAAAACUCAGCUUCACACUAACUUAGCCAAAUACAUCCCUGGUGUAACACCACUGAAGUCAACAGAGUUACAGGAAUUGAAGUGUCCCAUUGUAUUGUGAAGGUAUCAGCACUCUUUGCAGCAACAUUUCCAUGCAACCCUUGGAGAAAAAAAUUCAGAGCAUACGUUCUAUGGAAACCUGAUGGUGUUUUGAUUGAAUAUUGCUUUUAAUGAUCUGCAAAGGAGCAGCAGAAGGGCCUCCUGAGAGCUUUCUGGUUUUUGUACCAGUCUCAUUACCUCAGAUGCAGAUAGAAUUUAAGGAUCUUUGUGACUUUAGGAGCCACAAUUGAUCCCCCAAAAGACACACAUGAUUUUUGCACCUCAGUAGUUUUUUCUAUAUGCCAUAUAAUUAUUUUAUGUUUCAUAUUUAUUAUUACAGGUACAGUGAUGGAUUGCUCACUUUCCCUAGUAUUGGUGUUUGCCCUAAGGACUGGUGCAGAGCUCAUGACUUGCCAGGGGUCGGAUUCGCCUCUCGCUUAGUGUUGGUGUUUUUACAACAAUGUAACUUCACUGUCUGGUUUCUCUGGGAUCUAAGUGGUAGGAGACUCUUAACAGUCUACAAGAUUUCCAGCCUCAUGCUGCAAAGAUGAACUUAACUAUCGGUGCUCAUGAGUACUAAAUUUGAUUUUAUUUUGAUGACUCAAUAACAAUUCAGUCCCAGGGUUCUGGGAAUAGAUGGUUACUGCCAAACCACAAUAAAUGCUUUGUCUGGAACUCAUGGAACAGUAACAUAGCAAUGGAGGGUGUAUCUGUGUCUUUUACUCCCUCUGAAUAAAUUCUCAGAAUCCUGGGAUGGAUUUCAUGAAAUGUAUAAAGAAACAGGCUUUUCAUUUCUCUAAAUAAGGAAGGGACAGUGGAACUCAGCAAAACAGAGGAUUUCAUAUUAUGCUCCUGUUUGGGAUUUAUGCAAGCCAAAUUCCCUACCCAUCCUCAAACAAUGCUCUAUUCAAUGUAAGGCACGCUUGAGAGAGUUCACCUUACCUUUUUGCUGUGCUGGGUUGAUGGAAUUUAUCUGCUUUCAUGGAGUAAGUGUAAGUAGAACCUAACUACUGGCGCUGGGCUCCAGCUGUGAAUUUUGGAUCUGGAUUAGAAUUUCCUGAAGUUCAAAGAGGCUUGGAACUGAUGUCUGGUUCAGGCCCACCUUUACUGAAAACACCUAAGUGCAAUGAAGAAAAUAAAUUAGGGGCCAUGUUUUCAUGUGUUAAAAAUAUCAUGUGUCCCUGAAAACUAGGAAUGCCCCUCUUGUGAGGGACAGUCCCAGUGCCCCAGUUUUUUGCCUCCCAGAAUGGGUUCCAAUGUAUUUCAUGGUGCUUUUCUCUUACUCCCAGGGUUUGGUUGCAAACAAGGACCAUGCCAUCAUGGGAGCCAUACAUUUGGAUCACAAUGCUUAUAGCUCUGGUCUUUAUCACAGGAACAGCUAGCUGCAUAAUAUGCUGUGUGUGCCAAAACCACCUCAUAAGAGCUCAGUGCCAGCGCAUUUGAGGGCUUUCAGUAGAACGACAAGAUUACAAUAUCAUACCAAUCACCAACGGAUGUAUACAGCUUGAUAUUCAGAGAGAAGGUUCUCCAAAAGAAGUCAAGGCACGAGGAAUGAAAAGCAGCUUUUAGAAUCUAUCUACAUUUAUAUGGAUCCUGUUGCGGCGUAUGAUGAUGAUGCAAUGCCUGAAACAGUGUAUGAAAUUAACUGAAAAAGCUACUCGCUACUUUGAAGCAAAAAUAAAGAUAGCUUAUUUUUAAGACACCACAACUAGCUGGUCACUGUCAAAUUGAAGCAUCCUGUCCCCUGUAGCCCAUAGAGCUAGCUUUAGCAUUUAUUUUAUUUAGCAGUAACACAAGGACCCUACCGGCCCAUAUCCUGUAAGACAUUGGCUUCAGCAGUUAGCAUAAAGGCUUGAGGCCUAUGGCUUUGGCACAGAAAUGGCCUAACCAACACCCCUAAGUUUUGGGGAACUGGGAAUAGAGCGUUUAAGGGAGAAGUUCGUCCAUAAUGACACCAACCAAGCCCAGGAACAUGAGCUAACACCAGCUUUUGGAUAUUUUAGGAUAGAACAUCUGCAGAUGUCUGACCACAAGAGUGCCAUGACAACAAACUGAUGUAUAUGAUAAUAAAUUGAGAUUAUUCCUAUACUAACCUAUAGGAGAAGGGCACCCCAACAUUAGUAGGGGGAGGAAAUACAAAUAAGGAAGAGGGACAAACCCUUACUGAAUAUGGCAUUACACAUAGUGGCAUCAGCCUAACAUAUUGCAAAAAUUGUAUCCCAGCCUGGGUGUGGGAGGAGAGAGUGAGGUAGCCCUUGGGAGGUGCCAGGAUGAUGGCCACUGGUGAUGAGGAAGAUAAUGGCUAACAUUUCAGGUUGUUCUGCAAGGGAUGGUGUGAGUAUAUGGAUGUUCAGAUGUAUAUUCUGUAUUAUCUCGAUCUACCUUGCUGGGUUAGUGUGUUUGUGACUGUGCUAAAUGUAUUAAUAAACUAUUGUAAAUACAGAAGGGUUCCUAAAAUGUGAGUG